rnacentral:rRNA from 1 species
GAUGAACGCUGCGGCGUGCCUAAUACAUGCAAGUCGAGCGAAUGGAUUAAGAGCUUGCUCUUAUGAAGUUAGCGGCGGACGGGUGAGUAACACGUGGGUAACCUGCCCAUAAGACUGGGAUAACUCCGGGAAACCGGGGCUAAUACCGGAUAACAUUUUGAACCGCAUGGUUCGAAAUUGAAAGGCGGCUUCGGCUGUCACUUAUAGAUGGACCCGCGUCGCAUUAGCUAGUUGGUGAGGUAACGGCUCACCAAGGCAACGAUGCGUAGCCGACCUGAGAGGGUGAUCGGCCACCCUGGGACUGAGACACGGCCCAGACUCCUACGGGAGGCAGCAGUAGGGAAUCUUCCGCAAUGGACGAAAGUCUGACGGAGCAACGCCGCGUGAGUGAUGAAGGCUUUCGGGUCGUAAAACUCUGUUGUUAGGGAAGAACAAGUGCUAGUUGAAUAAGCUGGCACCUUGACGGUACCUAACCAGAAAGCCACGGCUAACUACGUGCCAGCCGCCGCGGUAA